rnacentral:rRNA from 1 species
UGACGCGGUGAAUACGUUCCCGGGCCUUGUACACACCGCCCGUCAAGCCAUGGAAGUUGGGGUACCUAAGUACGUAACCGCAAGGAGCGUCCUAGGGUAAAACCGAUAACUGGGGCU